CAGGGCUGUGGGGACCUUCCAGCCUCGGACCCCUGCUCGCAGAUGCCCUGCAGUGCUUGGAGCCUCCUUUUGCAAAUAAAGUCGGUGCAGCUUUUGGAGAGUGGCUGGGUCCGUGCGGGGUGCGGGGUGCUGGGGCGGGGCGUGUGAAGGCAGCUGGACACGCGAGUGGAUGCUGGAGAGAAGGGCUUCAGGGAGGGAGGAGGAAGAGAACCCUGGCGGCUGCUGCCUUUUUCUUGUAAUAACUUUUAUUUUUCGUAUCAUUUCCUACAUACAGAAAAGUUGCAACCAUUCCUGUGUGCCCUUCAAUUCGAUUCUCCAGACAUUAACAUUUCCCCUUAUUCUCUUUACCCUUUUAUUUUUUCUGAACCAUUGGGCAGUACAUUGCAGGCGUGAUGUUCCCUAUCCCUGAAUAUUUGAGUGUUUCCGGAAAGCAAGGACAUUUUCUUGCAUCUGUUGUCAAGGUGUUGAAGAAGCAGAGACUGGGGGAACACUCCUUUUGCAAGGGUUCCAACAGAGGGCACUUUGACCUGUCCCCGAGGAGGUCAAGUGUUAAGAGAUGUCACUCUUCAGUCCCACCAACUUAUCUGUUCAACGUUUCUCAACAUUUACAGCUCUAAAAGUGAAAACUUGAAUUAUUGAUGCAGAACUCUGCUUCAUUUUAUGAUGUAUGAACCAAUUAAAAAAGAAAAAUCCAUGUUUAUAAAAAUA